CUACGGGAGGCAGCAGCGGGGAAUAUUGCACAAUGGAGGAAACUCUGAUGCAGCAACGCCGCGUGGAGGAUGACACUUUUCGGAGCGUAAACUCCUUUUAUAUAGGAAGAAGAUGACGGUACUAUAUGAAUAAGCGCCGGCUAACUCCGUGCCAGCAGCCGCGGUAAUACGGAGGGCGCAAGCGUUACUCGGAAUCACUGGGCGUAAAGAGCGUGUAGGCGGAUUAAAAAGUAAGAAGUGAAAUCCUAUAGCUUAACUAUAGAACUGCUUCUGAAACUCUUAAUCUAGAAUAUGGGAGAGGUAGAUGGAAGUGCUGGUGUAGGGGUAAAAUCCGUAGAGAUCAGAAGGAAUACCGAUUGCGAAGGCGAUCUACUAGAACAUUAUUGACGCUGAGACGCGAAAGCGUGGGGAGCAAACAGGAUUAGAUACCCCCGUAGUC
rnacentral:rRNA from 1 species